GUGCUCGCUUUGGCAGCACAUAUUCUAAAAUUGGAAUGAUACAGAGAAGAUGAGCAUGGCCCCUGCUCAAGGAUGACACACCAAUUCGUGAAGCAUUCCAUAUUUUU
ensembl:snRNA U6 U6 spliceosomal RNA